rnacentral:misc_RNA from 1 species
AACGCAUAUUGCGCCCUUUGGUAUUCCGAAGGGCAUGCCUGUUCGAGCGUCAUUACACCACUCAAGCCUCAGCUUGGUGUUGGACGAUGCGAGAAAUCGCACGUCUCAAAAGCCGUCGGCUGAGUCGUCUGUCUCCCAGCGUAGUGAAUCUUUUCGCGAAGAGAUGUGUCGAUCUUGGCCGUUAAACCUUCUCAAGGUUGACCUCGGAUCAGGUAGGGAUACCCGCUGAACUUAA